GUUUUACCUGCCCACUGAGUAAUUUAAGGGCCGCGGUAUUUUGACCGUGCAAAGGUAGCAUAAUCAUUAGUCUUUUAAUUGGGGACUGGGAUGAAAGGUAGGACGAGGUACAAACUGUCUCCAUGAAAUAAGAGAAUUUAACUUUUUAGUUAAAAGGCUAAAAUAAAAUUAGAGGACGAGAAGACCCUAUAGAACUUUAUAAAGUGGCAUCAGGCUUUUAGUAAAGUGUUUUGCUUGUAUUUAAGCUUUAUUACGUUGGGGUGAUGGGGUAAUAAACAAACUUAUUUUGAAUUAAACAUCAUGAAUGAAUACAGGAUCCAUAAAUAAUGAAUAAAAAAUUAAGUUACCUUAGGGAUAACAGCGUUANCC
rnacentral:rRNA from 1 species